UUAUUUAAUGUUUGAGAUGUCAAAAACCCUGAAGCGUCGGUGCCGUGUUAAAAGAACCGACGAUUUAUAUGUUCAAGCUAAAAUGCUAGGCCAUAGUCGUACCUCCGUUGGACAUUCAUCGACUACUGUUUGUAAAACUAAUAGACGUGAUUGUUGAAACUCUGUAUUGAAAAGGCUUGAGAAUAUAUUCCAUGUGUAUUGCUUAAUUUUUAGAAGUUUUCAACGCUGUUGCAGGCAUGUGUUUGGCCAGCUAUGUGGGGCGGGUUGAGCGUGAACCAGGAAGUGCGGGGAUCUCGCGUGUGUGUGCGCGCGCUGUUCUCUUGUUGCUGGGUAGUCGAAAAAGUUGACCGGAAGCAGGCGGCAACCGUGUUUCUUUCUCUGACGAAGUCAGGCCGCCCCUUAACACGCUUUGGGGCUGAAAAUACUGACAGUUCACACCGCCACGACCGUGAAGAAGUGCCGAAGAAACGGUUUGUCUAGCAACAGCAUCGUUUUCACUGGCGCCAAUUUAAUUCGGUAUGGAGUCGGCGUUCCAACACCCUGACGGAGGGCGUUGGAGAACACUGGAGUUGCCAUGUAACUCAGACGCCGCACAAGCAAUGCUCCAAGGUCAGUAUCAAAGUUUUAAGUCACGCUGAAGCACGAAUAGUGGCGUUUCGCUUCGACAAUAGGACAAUAUACAGUAUAUAAACGAUGUCGAAGUUGACGAGCUGAAGCCGAAGUCGCCAUUUUGUGGACAUAAUUGGCGCGCAGAAUGCUCGAAAUGACGGAGAACACUGGAGUUGCCAUGUAACUCAGACGCCGCACAAGCAAUGCUCCAAGAUGAAAAGCCGCUUGUCGCUUAACAGCCCGUGGGAUCCCUCUCCAUCCAUCCCAACAUGAGCUCCAAAUGGGAGCGUCAUCUGAUGCCAUAGGUUCUCCAAGGGGCAGUUUCACCUAUUGCACGCACAAGACGGCAUUUUCUCUGACAACUACUCUCUUCUUAAUCACCACUUGUACUUAAAGCUAAACCAACUGUAACACUUGUCUAUACGAGUGGAGCAUCUGUUAACAAUGGAAGUAUUAUUUUGCAAGAAUUUAGUCCUAUGAAAAGCCGCUUGUCGCUUAACAGCCCGUGGGAUCCCUCUGCAUCCAUCCCAACAUGAGCUCCAAAUGGGAGCGUCAUCUGAUGCCAUAGGUUCUCCAGUGGACAGUUUCACCUAUUGCACGCACAAGACGGCAUUUUCUCUGACAACUACUCUCUUAAUCACCACUUGUACUUAAAGCUAAACCAACUGUAACACUUGUCUAUACGAGUGGAGCAUCUGUUAACAAUGGAAGUAUUAUUUUGCAAGAAUUUAGUCCUGUAAGUACUGACAAAUAAUGACACACUUUGUAUAAGGAAUGUUUUUCAGUAUUUACGGGUUACAAUCACUCCACUUGUGUACUUUUUGGACCUUGAAAUCAAUUUGUGUCAUUUCACAAGUAAUGUUGCAGUAAUUGUAAGUGACAACUAGAUGGCGGAAUUUCCCAGGUUAAGUUUCAGGGAUUUAAAGUGACAACCAGAUGGCGGAAAUUCCGAAAUAUAGUUGCAGUAAUUUAAAGUGACCACUAGAUGGCAGAAUUUCCCAGGUAUAGUUGCAGUAAUUUUAAGGGUUUGGGGUUAGGGCUAAGCUAGGGCUAG